UGCGUAGGUGGUUUCUUAAGUCAGGAGUGAAAGGCUACGGCUCAACCGUAGUAAGCUCUUGAAACUGGGAAACUUGAGUGUAGGAGAGGAGAGUGGAAUUCCUAGUGUAGCGGUGAAAUGCGUAGAUAUUAGGAGGAACACCAGUUGCGAAGGCGGCUCUCUGGACUGUAACUGACACUGAGGCACGAAGGCGUGGGGAGCAAACA
rnacentral:rRNA from 1 species